UUUGCGGCGACCUUAGCCUAGGAGAAACGCCUGGUCCCUUUCCGAACCCAGAAGCUAAGUCCUAGCACGGCAAUGGUACUGCACUCGGUAGGGUGUGGGAGAGUAGCGCGUCGCCGCUU
rnacentral:rRNA from 1 species